rnacentral:lncRNA from 1 species
AUAACUGUAAUUUGAAUUGAUAAAGUUGAUAGUUCCCAUUAGUUUAAUUAGCAGGCUCAUGAAUUUGCUUAAAACCAGGCCCAAUGUUAGUCAUGGUGCGACCAUGAGUUCCUUAUUUGCAAUUGUGUGCAUCCAACGAACCAAGAAGGUCCCGUAUUAUCAUGUUAAUCUGAGUCAACAUUCGUUCAUUUUUAGCAAA